GCCACGGUGGUCUAGCUGUUAGAACGCUGGCCUUGUAAUCCUGGGGUCUCGGGUUCGAUUCCCGACGGUGCCC
rfam:Zootermopsis nevadensis contig29647, whole genome shotgun sequence.